rnacentral:rRNA from 1 species
AUUGAACGCUGGCGGCAGGCCUAACACAUGCAAGUCGAGCGAGCGGCGGACGGGUGAGUAAUGUAUGGGGACUGCCCGAUAGAGGGGGAUAACUACUGGAAACGGUGGCUAAUACCGCAUACGGUCGAUUAACCCAUAUGGGAUUAGCUAUUGGGUAAGGUAAUGGCUUACCUAGGCGACGAUCCCUAGCUGGUCUGAGAGGAUGAGCAGCCAGACUGGGACUGAGAAACGGCCCAGACUCCUACGGAGGCAGCAGUGGGGAAUAUUGCACAAUGGGCGCAAGCCUGAUGCAGCCAUGCCGCGUGUAUGAAGGAGGCCCUAGGGUUGUAAAGUACUUUCAGUCGGGAGGCGUUACCGACAGAAGAAUCACCGGCGAACUCCGUGCCAGCCGCCGCGGUAAUAC